AUACUGAGGGUGCAAGCGUUAAUCGGAAUUACUGGGCGUAAAGCGCGCGUAGGCGGUUUACUAAGUCAGAUGUGAAAGCCCCAGGCUCAACCUGGGAACGGCAUUUGAUACUGGUGAACUUGAGUUUGAUAGAGGGUGGCGGAAUUCCAGGUGUAGCGGUGAAAUGCGUAGAUAUCUGGAAGAACACCAGUGGCGAAGGCGGCCACCUGGAUCAAAACUGACGCUGAGGUGCGAAAGCGUGGGGAGCAAACAGGAUUAGAAACCCUAGUAGUCC
rnacentral:rRNA from 1 species